rnacentral:rRNA from 1 species
UACAGAGGGGGCAAGCGUUAUUCGGAAUUAUUGGGCGUAAAGGGCGCGUAGGCGGCCUGGCAAGUGGAUGGUGAAAUCCCUCGGCUUAACCGAGGAACUGCCAUCCAGACUGCUUGGCUUGAGACCGGGAGAGGUGAGUGGAAUUCCCAGUGUAGCGGUGAAAUGCGUAGAUAUUGGGAAGAACACCGAUGGCGAAGGCAGCCAUCUGGACCGACACUGACGCUGAGGCGCGAAAGCGUGGGGAGCAAACAGG